rnacentral:rRNA from 1 species
CCACCCGAUCCCAUCCCGAACUCGGAAGUGAAACCGCUUAGCGCCAAUGAUAGUGUGGCACUUUGCCAUGCGAAAGUAGGGAAUCGCCAAGC